GUCAAGUCAUAGUUUAUCAGAAGAAAAGUCAUUUUUUAUUGUGUCCAAAAGUGUUGUUGCUUUAUUUUGAAUUUAGAAACAAAAUUAGCUCUUUUUUCAAAGAACCAGUUUUGGCGUCAGGAAUAGUGGAAAAUGUGAUAUUUUAAGGGUCCUGAGGUAUAAAAUGCCUCUUUAGCGCAAUGAGGCCUGAAGCUGAGUACGAUGCUCUGGACCAGAAACCAGACCGGAGGAAGGAGGACCAGCUGGUCAAACUGACCCAGCUGGACCUCAUUAAAGAGAAGGACAGAGAACCAGAACCUGCAACAAGGCUUUAGAGGACCAGACCCCCAGAGACCUGCCCCUGAAAGAACAAAGCCCCAGAAUAAAAGCCUCGGACAGGAAGUCGGAGAAGGAGCGGUUGGACGUGAAAUUAAAAGAUAUGGAGGACGAGAAGAUGCAGCAGGAAGGAAGCAGUGAAGGAUAAAAACUGGCUUCAUCUGUUUAGCGCAGGUUUCUGUGGAUGGAGGUUACACCUGAUGGAGGUCACACCUGAUGGAGGUUACAUCUGAUGGAGGUUACACCUGAUGGAGGUUACACCUGAUGGAGGUUAUACCUGACGGAGGUUAUACCUCCACUGGUCCUGCUGUACUACUCUCAGUAUUUGAAUGAUUUCUGUCGUAUAAUUUCAACGAGCUGUUCAUCUUUCAAGUUGUUCAUUGUGAGCAAAUCUACUUCCUGCUGAUCUCCUUCGGGUUUCUUUCAGUUAAAAUAUUGAUUCCCUUGAACACAAAUAAUGUGCAGAAGAAUCAUCAAGUGACGAUGAGGGAGAUGGAAUCCAGAUUCUAGUGACUCAGAGCCAUGUUUUGUUACAGAACUGAAAAGGUUCCAAAUCUAUCCACAGAUUCCGAUUUAGAUCAAUAAAUGUAAACUAACUUGUACGUGUUGUAUUUUCUGUUUAAAGACAUUUAAAAGAAAAUUGAUUCAAAGACGUUCACGCAGGACACAGGAAGGUGGAGGAGGCAGGUAAUCAGUAUUUAAAAUGUCUAUAAGUUGCUUCUGGGCUAAAUUCAGUAACGCUGAC
ensembl:lncRNA